GACGAACGCUGGCGGCGUGCUUAACACAUGCAAGUCGAACGGAAAGGCCCUGCUUUUGCUGGGUUCUCGAGUGGCGAACGGGUGUGUAACACGUGAGUAUCCUGCCCUUGACUUUGUGAUAACUUCAGGAAACUGCGGAUAAUACCGGAUAGGAGCUCCUGCUGCAUGGUGGUGGUUGGAAAGUUUCGGCGGUUGGGGAUCGACUGGCGGGUUAUCAGCUUGUUGGUGGGGUAGUGGCUUACCCAGGCUUUGACGGGUAGCCGGCCUGAGAGGGUGACCGGCGACAUUGGGACUGAGGGACGGCCCAGACUGCUACGGGAGGCAGCAGGGGGAAAUAUUGCACAAUGAGCGGAAGCCUGAUGCAGAAGCGCCGCGUGCGGGAUGACGGCCUUCGGGGUGUAAACCGCUUUCGCCUGUGACGAAGCGUGAGUGACGGUAAUGGGUAAAGAAGCACCGGCUAACUACGUG
rnacentral:rRNA from 1 species